rnacentral:lncRNA from 1 species
UCUACUGAGAGGGUUGAAAAUUGAUGAAUACAGUGACUAAAUAUAUACUCUAGGGUGGCCCAGAAGGGUACACAGCCUUAUACUGCAAGCAGAGAGGCUGUUUCUAAGAUUUGAACUCAAGCUCACCCUCUCAUUAAAUAUAUACUCUACAUGGUAAAAUUCAGUUGAGAAUUGAGAUCAAUAAAUGUUAAUACUGAUUCUUUAGGAAAUACAAUUCUUAUUCUAAUAAAAAAAUUCAGAAUCACACACAAAACACAAACUGAGAUAUGGAUCUCCACUUCAUCGCAGAUAUCAAGGUGAUAUGGUUGAAUAUGUGUAUACAAGGAAAAUGAGCAGAAAAUGAAAAUAAAACUGAAAAUCUCGACAUUAGACAGGCCUUGUUCUCUCCUCAAUUCACUUGCUUCUUUGUUAACCUUUCGGUUUUCCCUCCUCCUCUUAUAUCUGAAUCCCUCCCUUGUUAUCCACACUCCCCUACUGCCAAGUGAGCAUCAAGUUGUUACAUGAAGUCACACUUCUCACCUUGCCUAUGAUGAGGGGCACUAAUCCGCACCCAAUUAGCUCCCUUUUGAAACUCACCAAACUCAACAUCCUCCAACCUCCACACACAAUAUGCUAAAAUUGAUAAUGGGAAACCAUGAAUGUGCCCCUCUGAUCUGUUUCUAAAUUCAAUCAGAAAACUUCUAUCAAGUUAAGUCACCCCAAAACAACAUUUGGAAAUUCGUGUUUAACAUUGAUGGUGUGAUUUCUUCAGCCAUGACUCUUACUCUCAACCUCUUAAGUUCAGUACUGUGGGACCAAAUCCCACAACCCAUUGAACAAUUAACAAGGUCAUCCACAAGACACACAGUAGAUACAUUCAAGUAUGAAUGAUGUUCACUAAUUUUCAUUAAACAUCACCAAAGUUUCAUCUGAUAGGCAUUGUUGACUGAUUGAAUCGACAACUUUAAAUCUCAUUUAGUCAUACACCAAUAGCCUCCAACAUCACACUACCCACAAAAAAGAUAUAGGUCCAUUUGUUUAAGCAUUUUAAUAAAAAAAAUUGAUUAUUUUUAAUUAAAAAAUCAUGCCUGGCACACACACAUUUGUUUGAUUUGGGUUUUACCAAAAAGCAAAAUCUAUAUUUUUCAGCUUAUCAAAAAAUCACUUUUUUGCCAAAAUUACUAUUCUAUCAUCUUCAAUAUAACCCAUCGCUUAAGAUUAAGAUCUGACUCAUCUAAAAUGAGGGGAUUCACUUCAGAUACAAAACUUUUAGAGUUAUAAAUCCAUAAUAAACGUUUUAUUCUCAUCAUUUAUGUUAAAUCGCACAAAUACAGGUUUUUUUAAUAAAAUAUGAUACCAAAAUCAGAAUCCAAAGCUACUCAUCAUUUAGAUUAAUUUUUACCAAUCAACCAUCACAAAAUAAAAUGAAAUAAAUCAUGUUUACCAGAUUUUGAGAGAGAGGGCUGGGAAGAGAGGAUUAACUUGGAAGCAGAUCUGAAACCGUUGUUGAAAGCCAUUGAAGUUAUUAGAUUACAAUUUAUAAACGUCGAUGGGGAAAAGGCACUUUUGUACUUAGCAAUGUUUUGAUUAUUUGUUUUGGUUGUAACCCUUUCUAUCUUACCCAGUUCUGUUGUUUUGGCUGGGCCGGGUCGGGUGUUAACAGAUAUAAAUUUAUUCUACAAAAUUUAUAGUAGCAUAUUAUUGAAUUUUAUAUAUUUUAGAGUUUGCAUUGUUUACAUGUAAAGGUAAAACAAUAAAUAAUGAUCGCCAUAACAUAAUUUUUAUAUUUCAAAUUUAUUUUAUUAUAUUAUUAAUAAUUAUUUAAACUUUCAAACAUUAUUUACAUUUUUUAUAUUAAUAUAUCAUUAAUUUUCUACACAUUCUUUUAUUUUUAUCUUCACUCUUCUCAACCCAAGUAAAACAAAAAAUAAUAUAAAAAACAUCUAUAAUGAUUAUUAGAGGCACAAAAUGAGAAAUUUACAUAAGUUUUAUGUAUAUCAUAUCAACUACCACAUAUUAUCUUCUAACCUUUCACUUUCUAUUGGGUUUACAUAUUGCAUUAUAUAUCAGAAGAAAUAAAAAUGUGGAGUGAUCAUCGACACGCUAGUAUCUAUAAAUGUACAAAAGUUUAUAACAUUUAAUAUAUUAUUUAUAUUAUUUUUUUUGAAGAGUCAAUAAUAAUUAAAUAUGAAGUAUGAAUAAUAUAGUGACUAAGUAUAAAAUUCAUACAUUGUUUAAAACAUGUCUAUUUUUCUCAUAUAGUUAUUAAGUAAGAGUUACUCAAUUGUUAAGAGUUAUGAAUACCGUUUAUAUGUUAGUACACCAGCAAACACAUAAAUCAACUAGUAUCAGGUUGUUGUAAAUUUAAAGUGCUAAAGAUGGACUCCUCUAGUGAAUGCUAUUAUCCUUUCCUUUGUGUCCUUUGUUUUGUUUAGUUUUCUUUACUCGUGUAACCAAAAUAAUUAUUAACUCAUCAUUAUAUGUUAGAAAAUAAAUUAUUUCAUUUUAAUCGCUGCUAAUUUGCUUGGAUUUAUAGAAAAUAAAUAAAAUAAAAUCCUUAACACAAUUUUGAAAAAUAAUAAAUUAAGAAUGUGAUUUUUUAAUAAGCAAGAAUUUGAUUAAUAUAUAAAUAAAUUACUUUAUUUGAAUUUUUUGGCAAUGCUUUUGUUUAAAAAAAAAACAAGAAUGGAUUUGGUUUUAUUUUAAUUAUAUUUAUAUAUUUCAAUCUCAUACACAAGUAAAUAUAUAUAUUCACCAACGGGCGUUGGUUCAAGUGGUACAUGCUUGAUUCCCUUAAGCAAGAACCCGGGUUCGAGUCUUGUGGAUGGAAAAAANNNNNNNNNNNNNNNNNNNNNNNNNNNNNNNNNNNNNNNNNNNNNNNNNNNNNNNNNNNNNNNNNNNNNNNNNNNNNNNNNNNNNNNNNNNNNNNNNNNNGGAGAGUUAGCCCCACUUACCUGUGGAUGUGCCCGUCUCGGACAGGAUUGCCUCCAGUGCGAGGAUACAUGUGGGAAACAAAAAAAAAGUAAAUAUAUAUUCAAAUUUGGUUUUAUUUAUUAAAUUUAAUUUUUUAUAAUGAUUUUAAACAUUCCAAAUUUAGUUAUUAAUGUGAAAACUUUGUACAAUUUACAUGUAUCUUUACAAGCAUCUUUUUUAGUCGUGAUGCUUGCUCAAAAAGUUAUAACUCUAGGAUUCAACUCUCUUAAAUUUUAAUUUAUUAAAGAAUAACUAUGAUUAACUAUUUCUUAUUGAGUUAAGAAUUGAAGGCUUCUCUGGUUAUUCAAUUAUUUUACUCUUAUAAUAAUUGUUUUAAAAAUCACACCCUCUUUUUUUCUUCUAAAGUUUUCUCUCAGUGGAGAAAUUAAUAUAAUAUCUGGUUGCCAAAAGUAGUAUUAUAAAACUUGACUUAGACUAGCUGAUCUGACCGGUUCAACUAUGAACUGGAUAUCUAAUCAGUGCGAGCCUCUUAUCUAACCAGUUUUAUAUUAAAAUUUGACUGAUUCAGUUCAAUAUGAUUGAUUUAAGCCUAAAAUCGGUGAACACAUCCUUAUAAAAAUAAAUAUAUGAACACAUCCUUAUAUUUAAAACUAAAAAAAAUCAUACAAUCCAAUGAAGUACAUGAGUUAAAUAUGUCCAUCUAAAGAUAACAUGAGUUAAAAUACAUAAGGAAGGACCAAGAUUGGAACAUGGUGAUUCCCACUUCUGUUUUCUCUUUCUCUAGCUAUCAAGAAUCUUUAGGAUUCAAUCUUCCCAAACUCAAUCUCAUAUUCCUCAAAUGUGCUCAUGAAUCCACGAAGAAAGUCAGCCCGAUACAACUUCCACAUAAAAUAUCCUUUUUAUCUCUGUAACAAACAUACAUAAUGGAUAAGGAUUAGAUUGAAGCUAAACCAAGAGCCUGCCAAUUAUAAUCACUAACACCUCUUUGUGAUGAAUUUUGUGAAGAUUGAGACUCAAAUUCAAUCUACACAUUAUGCUAUAAUCAAGGAAUGCAACAAAAUCAUACAACUAAUAAAAGCGAAGUAAUAAUAACAAGUCAUGUAGAACAAUGCACACUAACAAAUAUUUCAUGACAUGGACCCCUAAUACCUAAUCAUCGACUUCAAGUUAUGCAGGAGGCAUGUAGCAAUACAGAAGAAUACACAUAAAUAUCGGAUACCACUAUCUCCGAUGAGGAGAACUCAAUAUAGGUAUUCCAAGUAAUCAAGCAUAUAAACUAGAUUAUUUCAAGUAAUCAAACAUAUAAAUUAGAUUAUUAAACAUCAUAUUUGGACUAAAAGUGGCCAACUAAAAUACAAAGUGGCACCUUUCACUCAAUAAGUGAUCCCGUUCCUUGCGGUCCAAUGCCUUAAACUAUCGAUCAUUUCCCCAUUUCUCAUAGAAAGUUUGAUAAUCAAUGUUGUGAUUAAUAUCCUGAAAAUCAAAUGAUCUAUAAGCAUUCAAUAGUUCCACAAAUUGAAUGUCCGUAUAUUUUGUGAAGAAAAUCUUGCUCCUGACCUUGACACGGUUUUGAUGAAGACAUCAACAUUAUAUAAAUGNGAGGAUGAGGAAGAAGAUGAGGAUAGAAUGAGAAUCAGGAGGAGGAUGAGGAUGAAGAAGAGGAUGAGAAGAGGAUGAGGACGAGAAUGAGGAUGAGGAUAGGAUNNNNNNNNNNNNNNNNNNNNNNNNNNNNNNNNNNNNNNNNNNNNNNNNNNNNNNNNNNNNNNNNNNNNNNNNNNNNNNNNNNNNNNNNNNNNNNNNNNNNAGGAAGAGGAUGAGGAUAGGGAGGAGGAAAGGAUGAGGACGAAAAUGACAAUGAGGAUGAGGAUGAGGAUAGGAUGAGGAUGAGGGUGAGGAUGAGGAUGAGGACGAGAAUGAGGAUAGGAUGAUGAUGAUGAUGAGGAUAGGAUAUGGACGAGAAUAAGGAUGAGGAUGAGGAUAUAAUGGGGAUGACGAUAGGAUGAGGACGAGAAUGAGGAUGAGGACGAGGAUAGGACGAGGAAGAGAAUGAGGAUGAGCAUGAGGAUUUGGAUAUCAAGGUGAUAUGGUUGAAUAUGUGUAUACAAGGAAAAUGAGCAGAAAAUGAAAAUAAAACUGAAAAUCUCGACAUUAGACAGGCCUUGUUCUCUCCUCAAUUCACUUGCUUCUUUGUUAACCUUUCGGUUUUCCCUCCUCCUCUUAUAUCUGAAUCCCUCCCUUGUUAUCCACACUCCCCUACUGCCAAGUGAGCAUCAAGUUGUUACAUGAAGUCACACUUCUCACCUUGCCUAUGAUGAGGGGCACUAAUCCGCACCCAAUUAGCUCCCUUUUGAAACUCACCAAACUCAACAUCCUCCAACCUCCACACACAAUAUGCUAAAAUUGAUAAUGGGAAACCAUGAAUGUGCCCCUCUGAUCUGUUUCUAAAUUCAAUCAGAAAACUUCUAUCAAGUUAAGUCACCCCAAAACAACAUUUGGAAAUUCGUGUUUAACAUUGAUGGUGUGAUUUCUUCAGCCAUGACUCUUACUCUCAACCUCUUAAGUUCAGUACUGUGGGACCAAAUCCCACAACCCAUUGAACAAUUAACAAGGUCAUCCACAAGACACACAGUAGAUACAUUCAAGUAUGAAUGAUGUUCACUAAUUUUCAUUAAACAUCACCAAAGUUUCAUCUGAUAGGCAUUGUUGACUGAUUGAAUCGACAACUUUAAAUCUCAUUUAGUCAUACACCAAUAGCCUCCAACAUCACACUACCCACAAAAAAGAUAUAGGUCCAUUUGUUUAAGCAUUUUAAUAAAAAAAAUUGAUUAUUUUUAAUUAAAAAAUCAUGCCUGGCACACACACAUUUGUUUGAUUUGGGUUUUACCAAAAAGCAAAAUCUAUAUUUUUCAGCUUAUCAAAAAAUCACUUUUUUGCCAAAAUUACUAUUCUAUCAUCUUCAAUAUAACCCAUCGCUUAAGAUUAAGAUCUGACUCAUCUAAAAUGAGGGGAUUCACUUCAGAUACAAAACUUUUAGAGUUAUAAAUCCAUAAUAAACGUUUUAUUCUCAUCAUUUAUGUUAAAUCGCACAAAUACAGGUUUUUUUAAUAAAAUAUGAUACCAAAAUCAGAAUCCAAAGCUACUCAUCAUUUAGAUUAAUUUUUACCAAUCAACCAUCACAAAAUAAAAUGAAAUAAAUCAUGUUUACCAGAUUUUGAGAGAGAGGGCUGGGAAGAGAGGAUUAACUUGGAAGCAGAUCUGAAACCGUUGUUGAAAGCCAUUGAAGUUAUUAGAUUACAAUUUAUAAACGUCGAUGGGGAAAAGGCACUUUUGUACUUAGCAAUGUUUUGAUUAUUUGUUUUGGUUGUAACCCUUUCUAUCUUACCCAGUUCUGUUGUUUUGGCUGGGCCGGG